rnacentral:rRNA from 1 species
GACGAACGCUGGCGGCGUGCCUAAUACAUGCAAGUCGAACGAACUCUGGUAUUGAUUGGUGCUUGCAUCAUGAUUUACAUUUGAGUGAGUGGCGAACUGGUGAGUAACGCGUGGGAAACCUGCCCAGAAGCGGGGGAUAACACCUGGAAACAGAUGCUAAUACCGCAUAACAACUUGGACCGCAUGGUCCGAGUUUGAAAGAUGGCUUCGGCUAUCACUUUUGGAUGGUCCCGCGGCGUAUUAGCUAGAUGGUGGGGUAACGGCUCACCAUGGCAAUGAUACGUAGCCGACCUGAGAGGGUAAUCGGCCACAUUGGGACUGAGACACGGCCCAAACUCCUACGGGAGGCAGCAGUAGGGAAUCUUCCACAAUGGACGAAAGUCUGAUGGAGCAACGCCGCGUGAGUGAAGAAGGGUUUCGGCUCGUAAAACUCUGUUGUUAAAGAAGAACAUAUCUGAGAGUAACUGUUCAGGUAUUGACGGUAUUUAACCAGAAAGCCACGGCUAACUACGUGCCAGCAGCCGCGGUAAUACGUAGGUGGCAAGCGUUGUCCGGAUUUAUUGGGCGUAAAGCGAGCGCAGGCGGUUUUUUAAGUCUGAUGUGAAAGCCUUCGGCUCAACCGAAGAAGUGCAUCGGAAACUGGGAAACUUGAGUGCAGAAGAGGACAGUGGAACUCCAUGUGUAGCGGUGAAAUGCGUAGAUAUAUGGAAGAACACCAGUGGCGAAAGCGGCUGUCUGGUCUGUAACUGACGCUGAGGCUCGAAAGUAUGGGUAGCAAACAGGAUUAGAUACCCUGGUAGUCCAUACCGUAAACGAUGAAUGCUAAGUGUUGGAGGGUUUCCGCCCUUCAGUGCUGCAGCUAACGCAUUAAGCAUUCCGCCUGGGGAGUACGGCCGCAAGGCUGAAACUCAAAGGAAUUGACGGGGGCCCGCACAAGCGGUGGAGCAUGUGGUUUAAUUCGAAGCUACGCGAAGAACCUUACCAGGUCUUGACAUACUAUGCAAAUCUAAGAGAUUAGACGUUCCCUUCGGGGACAUGGAUAC